GUGAGUAAACCGAAAUGAAAGGAUCAAGUACCCCCUACAGUUCUUUUUUAGUUACUAGAACUCUUGUGUAAGUUAACUAUACUAACUAAGCAUUUGUCAGUACAACAUACUAUUCCUAUUUCACUUAAAUUAGUUUUUUCAAGGCAAUCAGUUUGCAUACUUUUUUUAAGUAAGCCCAACUUAUUAGAUUUUACAGUGUAUUACUAACAAACGUAACUUCACUGAUAACCUACAUGGAUGUAAAUGUCAAAAGACCAGUAGUUCGGAUAACGUAUGCAUGCUAGUUAUGAAAAGUACAGUUGCUCUCUACUCUACAUUCAUUAUAACUAGCAGGCUCAUACACACACAGUAACCAUUAUGCUGAUAGUUGUGUUGACGUGGUGUUCACCCUUCUGUACAGUUCUCAUCUAGGAAUAUACUAAAAUAUGUUUUUUUUUUUUUUUUAAUUGGCCAUGGCCAGAUGCACUCAGGAAAUUUUUGCAGAGGCCGUAAUAUAUAAUGUGAUGUGAUUAUAUAUAACUUUUAUAAUCACAUCACAUUAAUACUACUUAUUGUAAUCAGUAGUAUUAUUUAGCCUUGUAGCAGCCUAAUAGAUUAGUAAUAAUAGUAGUGGUGGUAGAACUUGUAAUUUAUCUACUACAAGUUACAUGGUCAGAGAUAAAAUGUAUUUGUACAAUGCAACUAUGUGGUAGGAUGAUAGAAAUGACCAAUGCAAUUGUGUAACAAACAGCAUGGAUGUGUUUAAAUACAUACAGCUGCAGGAGUAGGGACAUCCAGUAGUGGUACUCCAGGGACCAGUGACACACAGGCCAGGAACACACAGCCUGCAUCAAGUGAAGGUGAAGGGACACCCAGGACCACAUCAAGCACUCAGGGCACCAGUGAAAGACAGACGACUGAGACCAGGGACACGCAGCCUGAAUGAAGUGAAGGGGCCACAUUUAGCAUUCCAGGCCCCAGUGAAACACAGACCACUGAGACCAGGGAUACUCAGCCUGAAGCAAGUAAGACCCUUGAAUACCGUUUAUUCAACCACUAUUUAAAACUUCAGUGACUUGUCUCCAAGUAAACAUUGACAUUCCUCAUUAAUUAAUUUCAAACACUACUGGUCUAUUAUACUCUAUAUGCUGGUCUAUACUAUAUCUUCUUUCUUCCUUAAGUUUAUUUCUUAUGUUGGUAAAUAUCCUCGAACAUUCUUUGUAGCAUUUGUGUAGUGGGGGGGGGGGGAUGGGCAAAACUCAAUCUCGCCUAGGGCAACCAAAGGGCUAGAGCCGGCCCUGGUUAAAAUCAUUCGCGAAACUACCGCCAGGUGGCGCAAAGGGACGGAUUGCGAAAUGAAUGUAAUUGUAAAAUGAGAUAAAAGGAGGAAGUAAAACAACAAUAACAUUAUGGUAUAACAUUGUAACAUCUUUAAAAACCAUUAAAAAAUUUACAGUGAGUUAAUUUCAAAAUGUAGGAUAGUCUUAGGCUACAGUCUACUCAUCAAAAAUUAAAAGACCUUAACUCAAAAGAUCUUAUGCAUGCUAUUGUU
ensembl:lncRNA